GAUGAAGAACGUAGCGAAAUGCGAUACUUGGUGUGAAUUGCAGAAUCCCGUGAACCAUCGAGUUUUUGAACGCAAGUUGCGCCCGAAGCCGUUAGGCUGAGGGCACGCCUGCCUGGGUGUCACACAUCGUUGCCCCAAUGCCAAUCGCCUCACUUUGUAGGUAUUUGCUUAGGGUGAAUGUUGGCCUCCCGUGAGCUUUGUCUCACGGUUUGUUGAAAACCGAGUGCAUGGUGUCGGGUGUACCAUGAUGGAUGGUGGUUGAGUGAUGCUCGAGACCAAUCAUGGGUAACUCCACCAGAAUUGGGCUCGGUGACCCACAUGCGUCCCUUGGAUGCUCCCUAAGGAGACCUCAGGUCAGGCGGGGCUACCCGCUGAGUUUAAGCAUAUCAAUAAGCGGAGGA
rnacentral:misc_RNA from 1 species